rnacentral:lncRNA from 1 species
CGGGGGCGAGGGGCGGGAUAGAGGCGGGACUCGGAGGCUGGCUGCGGGCGGCGAUUGGCCGGCCGCUGGGAGGGGAGCGCGGCGCGCGCCGAGCCCUGGAGCAGCCUGAGGGGGCCGGAGCGACAGCCAGGCUGGGGGCGGGAAGCGGGGGCGGGGUGGCGCAGGAAGAGCGAGCGCGGGGUGUGGGCGGCGCGGGGGCGCCGGCGCUAACGCGCGUGGAGGCGGCGCUCGGGAGGCGCGGUACGGCGGGCUGCAGGCCCUCGAGGGUCCGCAGGAUGCGCCCGGUGGCUCCCGCGCUAUUAUAGCAGCAUCCAUUUCCUGGACAGCUGGUCACUCCACUCCGUCCACAGCCCAGAGGACUAGAUCCAUGGCGCCGCUGUCAGGACUCAGACGGGUGCCUGUUGGCUUUGCUACAAGUUCUUCCUUCCCAGCCCAGCAGGGACAGCACAGUUGACUCCUGACCAGUGUCCAGUGUGCUGCCAUGUCCCCAUCAUGACUGAAGGUGGAGAGACCGCAGCCCAGGGAUGCCUGAGGAGACAGGAAGACUGAAGGUCCCCUGACACCCUGCUGCUGGGUCCUGGGCAGGAAGAGGAGGACACUAGGUAGAAUGUGGAGAACUCUGGAUGAACUGUGGACUUUAGUUAAUGAUAUGUCGGCACCAGCACUAGAAUGGUAGUCAGUCCAUCACACUAAGGCAGCAAGCUAACAAUGGUAGCUGGGUGGGCUCAGGGGCAGUCUUCGGAUGUCUGAGGCCCUGGGCCUGUUCCCUGGUACCACUCCAAAGAAGAGGACGUGGAGUGUCUUUGCUCUGAAUGAGGAAAUGUAGAGCGAAGGACCUUGCCGGGCCCCGGGCUACAGGUCAGAGGGUGCUGGGAGCUGCCAUGUCUGCCUUGCCUGUGCAAGCUGAGGUCUAAAGAGCAGAGCAGUUCAGCUCUCUUGCUAUACCAGAGGUGGGUGCUUCCCUGCUUCCUCCCAGGCUGCACCUCAGCUUUACGUGUAACUGGCUCCUCAGCCGCCAUGUGGGUCCUGCUUCCUGCUGUAGGAAGCAGAUUAGCCCAGGGCACCUGGCCAUCUCUUGUGUCUUCUGUUUCCUCUUAAACAUACGGUAUGGCUGGAAAGAAGGGACCAGGAAGGGCACUUGCCUGACGGAUGGAGGUGUGAACAUGGUCUUGUGGUUUUCCAGAGUGUCACCCGACACUGUCCUCUGUCCUCUUCGACACACGGCCUUAAAAAUCCCAUUGGCACUGUGGCCUCCUACAGAGCCUCCCCUACAGGCAGGCCCAGGAAGACAGAGCCUUUGUGCCCGCAUCCUGCCCUGUCGCCCCGGCAGAGGGGAAGCCUCCCCAGCAACCAUCCCCUUAUGUAAUCUGCACAUCACAGCGGCAUGACUCCAGGUGCCUGUGGGAGGUAGCGCGGGGGUGAGUGCAGGGGCGCAAACAAGCCUCGAAGUUUCCUUGGGUGCUUCUCCUCUUGCUACAUUUCAGCACCAUCCUGUGUCUGCCAGCUCGGUCACCCACUUGCCUAUUAGAAUACAUUAACUGACAAUGCAGACUUAAAUAACUUGAGCAGGUGUCAGGCUGCAGUGGAGCCCUCUGCACUGAACCCUUCUGCAGCUGGCCAAGUGAGCUCAGAGGACUAUGGUCCAAGGUUGGUGAUGAGUGCAGUCUGCAGACCAAGCAUACACAAGACCAAACUUAAGAGUGCUGGGAUACAGGUGUCCUCGUCAACAUGGGAAACCCACCCUAUGUCAGGCACACCCAUUCUUUCUGUGCACACCCAGCCUGUGGUGGGGCUGUAAAGACAGCUCUAGCAGCAGAAGCCUAGCACAGGCAGACCUGGCUGUGCCCUCCUGCUCCACCAAGUGUCCUUCGUAGGCCAGAGUGGUCCCUUAGCUUCCCUGGGAAAAGAUGAAAGACAAACUUUGCUUCCUGCUUAUUGUUCUGAUUUGCUUACCCCAAAUAAAACAUCCUUUUUCUUCUUAUUGUUUUGCCUCUUUUUUUUUUUUUUUUUUU